rnacentral:rRNA from 1 species
CCUACGGGUGGCAGCAGUGGGGAAUAUUGGACAAUGGGGGGAACCCUGAUCCAGCCAUGCCGCGUGUGUGAAGAAGGCCCUCGGGUUGUAAAGCACUUUCAGUGAGGAAGAACGCCUGGUGGUUAAUACCCAUCAGGAAAGACAUCACUCACAGAAGAAGCACCGGCUAACUCCGUGCCAGCAGCCGCGGUAAUACGGAGGGUGCGAGCGUUAAUCGGAAUUACUGGGCGUAAAGCGCGCGUAGGUGGCUUGAUAAGCCGGUUGUGAAAGCCCCGGGCUCAACCUGGGAACGGCAUCCGGAACUGCCAAGCUAGAGUGCAGGAGAGGAAGGUAGAAUUCCCGGUGUAGCGGUGAAAUGCGUAGAGAUCGGGAGGAAUACCAGUGGCGAAGGCGGCCUUCUGGACUGACACUGACACUGAGGUGCGAAAGCGUGGGUAGCAAACAGGAUUAGAUACCCUUGUAGUC